rnacentral:rRNA from 1 species
GACGAACGCUGGCGGCGUGCCUAAUACAUGCAAGUCGAGCGAAGCGGCGGUUGGGUGAGUAACGCGUGGGUAACCUGCCCUUAAGUCUGGGAUCCCAUUUGGCAACGGAUGCUGAUACCGGAUACUAAGGUAUGGACCUGCGAUGCAUUAGCCAGGUGGUAAGGGAACGGCUUACCAAGGCGAUGAUGCAUAGCGGAUUUGAGAGACUGAUCGGCCACAUUGGGACUGAGACACGGCCCAAACUCCUACGGGAGGCAGCAGUAGGGAAUCUUCCACAAUGGACGAAAGUCUGAUGGAGCAACGCCGCGUGAGUGAAGAAGGUUGUCGGAUCGUAAAGCUCUGUUGUUGGUGAAGCGGUAAUCAACCAGAAAGUCACGGCUAACUACGUGCCAGCAGCCGCGGUAAUUC